rnacentral:rRNA from 1 species
CACCGCGGUUACACGAAGAGCCCAAAUUGAAAAACACCGGCGUAAAGGGUGGUUUAGGCAUACUCUAAACUAGAGCUAAAUUUUCUCAAAGCUGUUAUACGCAUUCGAAAAACAGAAAAUCAUCUACGAAAGUGGCUCUAAUUGCUCCUGACACCACGAAAGCCAUGGCA